UUUCCGUAGGUGAACCUGCGGAAGGAUCAUUGUUCACACGAUGCAGCAAACCAGCGUACUGUAGUUGUCCCCCGAGGGGCCUCACCCGGAGGUGGGGCCGCCGAUGGCAUACCUGGUCCUGGGGACCGGCCUGCGGGCGUAGCAGGCAUUGGGUUGUCCUCGGCUGGAGCGUCCCGCUGCGUGGCUCUGGCGCUUUUGCCUCUCGGCUCCCCAGUUGCCGGGGGGCCUUGAGGCGGGCGGCCGGGGUUGGGCCCUCCCCUCCCCUGUUGGCUCCCCGCCCUUUUUGCCCGAGGAGCCCUCGGGGCAGCCUUUCUUUCCCCCACAAGGACCUCGGGGAACAUCAAGGAGCAGACGGAGCCUGGGGGCCUUUGCCGCGGCGGCAAGGCCCCGAGUCGAAAACAAAAGUAACGACUCUCAGCAACGGAUAUCUUGGCUCUU
rnacentral:misc_RNA from 1 species